rnacentral:lncRNA from 1 species
CCACGUUAUUUUUAAAUAUUAUAUUAAAUUUUACAUCAACUUUCACAUUAUUUUAAAUACUACAUUGCCACAUAGGAAAUUAAAUAUUUAAAAAAUAAAAAAUUUAAAUUGAGAAUUAAAAUUAAAAAAUUUAAAUUAAAAUGGUAGUGGCCAUUGGCUCUCUCUUCUCCAUCUUCUCUCUUCUCUAUCUCUCCACUCUCUCUUCUCCAUUUCCACCGCCGCACCACCGCUGCUAUCGGUGUGACAACAACCCAUCAGCAUGCUGCCGUCACCUACCACCAGCGUAAACCCCAACCAGCCUCCACCCUCUCCUCCUCUGUUCCACCAUAACUAUAAUUCAACCAUCGUGGCCGGUGACUCCAUCGGUGAGACACAGCAUCCAUCAGUUAGAUAUCUGACCAAUUAAAAAGCUCAAAAGAUGAGCAGCAACAACCAUUUCUAAACCUUCUCAAGAUGUAAAAGUGUUCUUUAAGUAGAUUAAGCCGAUUCUCAAUAUGUAUUUUGACUUUGGCAGACUUAUUAAAAGUAAGAAAAAAUAACUUUUACCACUCCCCCCAAACAGCUAAUUUGCCGAUGAGUGGAGCAAGAACUUAUCCAAUUACUACUAGUUAGGAUGUUAUACCAUACACUCAAUUCAGAAGCAUCAUAACAAUCAAAUAAAUCCAUUAAGGAAUUUCAUCAAGCAACUUUCAGGCAUAUGAUAAUCUCCUGAAGAAUUCUCUACAGAGCUAUUAUUAACACUCACCAAAACAAUUAGUAAUUGUCAACUGAAUACUACAAAAUGAAGAAACAUUUCAAAAAGCCAAUUACAUUCGCCAGAAAACUAGAAAAGGAGCCAAGCGAGAAUGGAUUUCCAUGGCGAAAAUAACACACUCAUUUCAGAAACAUCAUACUAAAAUACAUUCAUAGAGCAAUUUCAUUGAACACCUCAUGUGUAUGACAAUCUUCGGUUAGAUAUGUGACCAAUUUGACGAAAGGAGAUGCAGUAGAGAAGUUUGUUGGAUAAAACAAGGUGGAAUUCACAAGUUCUGCUGCUUCCUUUUUUUGCUUCAUUUUGUAAUUGGAACUUCUGCUUCUUUUUUUUAAAAAAA